rnacentral:lncRNA from 1 species
UCUAUGUCUGUAUGUCAAGUGUCCAUUGAUGGUAGGCUCUAAUUACGAAUUUUAGUCUCUAAUUGCACUCUAAUUCAGCACUUUCUUUGUGUUGAGCUUUAACUGGUAGCGUUUUGCACUUAUUGUGUGUUUUAUGCUUUGUAGGAGUCAUUUCGAGCAAUGUAGGUGUUGUGGAGAUGUUUCAAGCUAUUUGGAGAUUUGAAGUCUAAGUAAUGCCCACUGGAUUAAGCCAGGAUCGUGUUCGGGGGUCGAGGACCAUGUCUGGAAGUUAAAACGCAAGAUUUGAGCUAUAUUUAGAUAUUUGCACUAGUGAGACACAAGGUGCAAGGCAUAGUGCGACACAACAGUGUAUUUUUUCUACUUGUUGAAUUGUUGUGCUUUCUGAAGAUCUCCACUAGCACGUGGGAUGGCGCGUCGCUCCAUGCGACGUGCUUGUGUAUUUCUUCCAGAGUUUACGUCUAGGCCCGAUCCUACUUGGUAUAAAUACAUGGAAAGAUGUUAUUUUCUGGGAUUUUGACACAUCUUAACCCUAAGGAGGCUAAGGAGGAGUUAUAGAAGAAAAAGCACAAGGAACUCAUCAUUCGGUCCCCACUCAAGGCACGAGUUUUGAUCGUUUUAUGUUUUUCUGUACUUUAAACAUAUUUGUGAUGAAUUGUUCCAUGUGUAUGGAGUAAUUACCUUUAGGGUUUGAUGGAUUUGGUGUAUUGAUAUUUGUUUGUGGAUUAUAACUCUAGUUUUAUGUAUUAAAGAGUCUUUGUAUAAUUUAAUUGUUGCAUCUAUAUUCACUUGUUUAUGUAUUCGAGAGAGGCAAAACUUGUAAUAUCUUUGCAUUAUUGUUGGUGGAGUUCAUUAAUUCUUCUUAGUAAUCAAAAGAGGCUAUAUGAAUCAUUAAUUAAACCUAGUUAGGAGGAUAAUCGAGAGAGGUUCUCCUAAAGACCAAUCCACUACACAUUCUUGCAUAUAUUCACCAAGAUUAAAUUGGUUAAUCUUGCGAGGUUGAGACUUAAGCGAGAGAGGAGUUUCUACUAAAUGUUUGAACUAUUAAUUGAGUGAAUUCGAGAGUCUCACUUGAACAUUUGAAGUGAAUUAUUUAGAGUUCGAUCCCAAACAAUUAGGGGUUCAUGCCUCAGCACCAAGCAACCGAAGAACAUCAAAUAAUGCCAAAGGAAAAAAUUUCAAACGAUAAAGGUUCAAUAUUUAUUUAAAAGCCCAAAGUCUCCAAAAACAUCAAAUCCGGGCCCGCACCUCGUAACUCGGUAAAAAUCACAAAAUCCGGCAACCAAUUCAAUUAUGAACAUCAGCAGUUGAUCAACUAGGCGAGUACCUCAAUACCAUUAAAGCAUCUGUAAGUCAAACACAGUGCGCCUUCUAAAAUGCGCACCCUUCUUAAGCAAUACCAAAUGGUGCCAACAUGUGCAAAUCGUCUGUGCUGCAUAAACUCAUGACUUUCCUUUGAAACUGAAUCGUGACCUUGCACAUGAAAAUCUCAAUCUCACACAACGCACUGCAUCUAUCAUGCCAUUAUAUGAAAAGUACGUGAAUCUCAUAAUCAACUCUGACUCACCAACAGAAUACAAACCUGAUCAGUCAGAAACCUGCCACUUGAUCCCAUCUAAGAGAAAAUCACAAUACACAACAUGCUCCUCACGCAGGUAGGAAAUAUCCGUCUCAAACCGUGGUUAAAACCAUCGAGAACUCUCCGAAAUCAAUUUGCACAUAACCAAAUCAUCAGAACUGCAUCUCUCUAACACUACCAAGCCACGCAGGUCGCAAAAACCUAAGAGUAUUGCCCUAAAACACUUAUAGAGACUCACCACAUUACAAGUACCCAAAGAUUGAAUGAUAUCCAUUACCGUGCUGAUCCAACCCACUACCAAGUUGUCCUACCUCUCCGAGUUCCUUCCGAAUUAACCUCAAGUUGACACUACUCCCUGCCAGAACACCACGAUCCUUACCCAAAACUCACCACAAGAGAUCCUUACAUAAAAACCACAUUGCCUUAAGGCCCAUAAGCCGCCGUAUUUCCUAUUAAACAUCCCAAAAGUACCACAACCGAGACACCUACUCUGAAGAGACCUUAUGUGAACCUAAUACUGUUUUCUUUACUUUUCUGAUACUAAAAUGUAGAAUCCAUAGUGAUACACAAAUACCGCGAGUACCGAUACCAUCCAACACAAAUUUCAGAUUCUGACCAUAUACAAAUCCGAAUAAGUUCUCAAUUGCUAUAUAUAAAUCUUGCAUCUAUUAGAACCUUCUUGAGAGUCGUCCACUUUACUCAAAUCUCAAUUGCACCGCCCAAACGGACCAAACAAAUUGUCGCUCAUUAACACGACAAUACCCAAAUAAGUCACCCCGCUUAACAGAACCGAUCAAAUUCCUACUCCAUGCGAACUACAUAUUCCAUAAUAACAACUCAAUCAUUCCAUGAUUCCUAUAUACCCAUAAAGUGUAACAUAACCCAUAUCUAGAAAUUCCUUUACUCAAGUCAUACUCGAUCUCAACCUCAGCAAGUUAUAACUAAUUCAAAAGUUUGCCUCAAACUGAAACCAAUACAACAUGUAAACAUGCAAUCAAAUCGUUGACAGUAGACUCCCCCACUUGGCUUAAAACCAUAGAUCAAAAUGCUUAAUAACUCACAAUCCCAUCUCUAUAACUACCAUAAUACCGCAGUAAGAUUCAACUAAAUUUUUCAUAAGCUUUUAUAGCACAAACCAUAUAGUACCUCAAAUAAUCUGCUAAGUUCUCAUUUAUCCUCGUGAUGGUCAAGUCAACUAUUACAACUGAUCCUAACUCAAAUCACACAAAUAUAACCCACUGGUAGAAAAGAAAGCCUUCACACAGCAUCAUAAGGAUCACACAUACGUAGAUUAGCCUACAGGUUAUAACCCACAUGCUUAGCCUCAAACUGACAUCUCCCUAUACCCUUUCACAACCACAACUACUACACAAUCACUUAAUCUUCCUGAGUCAGAACUCAUCAAUAAGACAUGAGAAUCUAAUUUGUUACACAAUUAAACAACAUGAAAUAUCCUUCAAUACACUCAUAACUCAAGACUAUACGUAACAUCAAGACAGAAAUCAAGCACCCAAUGAUCUUUUUCACAUCUCAAGCAAACUCUUCUCAUCACAUUCAAACUAUUUGAAGAUAUCCUACCGUCACAUCAUACUCAUCAUAUAGCCAUCCAACCACUUAUCAAGCCAGAAAUCCCACUCAUAGGGACACUAUCGGAUAUGUAAGUCAAAAAGCAUAUACACACACAGCUGAAAUUACUCAGCCUAAGCUGCAGUCUAAACCUGGCCUCAAGUACUCCAAACUAGAACAUUACCAAACACUGGAAACACAUCUCGUACCUCAUCCAUAGAAUCACAAACCGUCAAUGUACAACUGAUACCGAGCACUCACGUACACAUAUGAGCAAGUGGAAGGAAUUCAAAGAGUUAUGCUUCAAGCUGAAUCAAUGCCACACGAUAAAGAAAUAAAGAUGGGAAGUUUAUCCUAAAUGCCCUGUAGCCUCUCAAAAAUAGGUAUGGACGUCAUCAUACCGAUCCGCAAGAAUCUACUAGACACUUGCUCAUGACUCGUAGAACCUAUAAACCUAGAGCUCUGAUACCAACUUAUCACAACCCAAAAUCCAACUAGUCGUGAUAACGCCUGACCCAGCCCGCUAGGUAAGCCAAUUAACAACUAUCCAAUUUAAUGAGAUUUAUUGAGACAAGUAACUAAUAAAAUAGAUGAAUCUUUAUACAUUUUCCAAGAACUAGAAGUACAAAUCAUGAGCUUCUAUGAUUUAGAAUUUGCAAAGCUGGUAUGAAAUAAAAUACAUCGUAUGUUCAAAUUUUACAUGAAAAUAUUUUAAAUACUAAAGCUACAAAGACCAAGAGGCAGCUAUGACUGAAACACAAGUAAAUCUUCAAAUCUAGCUCCCUCAUACACAACAACAUCAACAUCCAACAUCUACACGCAAGAUGCAGAAGUGUAGUAUGUGUACAACCGACCCCAUAUACUCAAUAAGUAUCAAACUUAACCGAUAGCUCGGAACAACUCAUAACAAUAUAACUAAAGCAAUACAAGUAAUAAAUCAAAGAUAUAAUACUCAGCUCGUUCACAGUUCCGAAAAAUAGGCAUGCUUUUCAAGUUUAACAGUAAAACCCAAAUCUUUUACCGAAAUCAUCAAAAUAUGAGUAAGUUUGUAAAAUUGUGAUUUUUUCCCAAUAUCUUUCAACAAGUAAAUGUUCAUUAUUAGUUGGCAUGAGGAAAGUACAUCUCCAUGCCUACAUGUCAAUGUGUAUGAGAAGUCAUGAAUGACGUGAUACUGUACAACUUGAGAAAAAUGCAUCUUUAUGCCUGUAUGUCAAGUGUGCAUUGAUGGUAGGCUCUAAUUACGAAUUUUAGUCUCUAAUUACACUCUAAUUCACAACACUUUCUCUGUGUUGAGCUUUAACUGGUAGCGUUUUGCACUUAUUGUGUGUUUUAUGCUUUGUAGGAGUCAUUUCGAGCAAUAUAGAUGUUGUGGAGCUGUUUCAAUCUAUUUGGAGCUGUGAAGUCUGAGUAAAUACCCUAGGGAUUAAGCCAGGAUCAUGUUCGGGGGUCGAGGACCAUGUCUGGAAUUCAAAACGCAAGAUUUGAGCUAUACUUUGAGAAAUUUGCACUAGUGAGACACAACGUGCGAGGCAUAGUGUGACGCAACAGUGUAUUUUUUCUGCUUGUUGAAUUGUUGAGCUUCCUGAAGAUAUCCACUAGCACGUGGGAUGGCGCGUCGCUCCAUGCGACGUGCUUGUGUAUUUCUUCCAGAGUUUAGGCUAGGAAAGGGUAAUUUCAUCUAGGCCCGAUCCUACUUGGUAUAAAUACAUGAAAAUAUGUUAUCUUCUGGAAUUUUGACACAUCUUAACACUAAGGAGGCUAAUGAGGAAUUGGAGAAGAAAAAGCACUAGGAACUCAUCAUUCAGUCCCCACUCAAGGCACAAGUUUGGAUCGUUUUAUGUUUUUCUAUACUUUAAACAUAUUUGUGAUGAAUUAUUCCAUGUGUAUGGAGUAAUUACCUUUAGGGUUUGAUGGAUUUGGUGUAUUGAUAUUU